rnacentral:antisense_RNA from 1 species
UUUAUACAUUUUCUACAGAAAAUGCACCCCAUCAUUGCCUAUAGCCCACCCACGUGGACUGCCCAUUCUGUGAAUCAUGUUUUACAGAAAUUGCCUUGACGUUAGGAAUUAAAAAAACAAAACAAAACAAAACAAAAAACAUGAAGCUGUAUUCUCCAGAAGCUUCUGAUUUAAGGAGAUAGCAAUAGGAAGCCAAAAGGUCCCUGCAGAGGAGGGUUGCAGCAUGAUAACUCUACUGCUGGACAGAGACAGAUUGCAGGGGAGCAAGAAUGAAUGGCAGGCCAGCUGCCAGAAGCUUCUCACUCCUUGGAGACCUUGGAGUCGAGGAUGAAAUGUUUUACAACUGUGGGGAGACCUAGGCUUUUCCAAAGCCCAUCAGGAUCCAACCCUAUAUUCUGCAACUAUGCUGGCAGAUUUAGGAGGUGAUAGCUGCUGGGAAGAAGUUGUUAAAGAGGGAACUCAGAGCCCCCAUGCUCCAUCCUCAACCACUGGCUGACAGGGAAGGACUCCAAGCAGACAGCGGGUGAUACUGAUGCUACUGGUCUUUGAGAACUGCUGACUUACAGUGUAUGGACAGGUAAAUAGAGUUCAUUCUCCAGCCACCUCUGAUCUACCAAAGAAAGUGCAGGCUCCUGUAGCAUGUAAAGGAGGACUUGGAAGCUAAGGCCCAGAGAGGAGGAGAAACUUGAUCAAAGUCAAUCAGACAAUGCAGAAUCGAGAAAAGUACCUGGACUUCUAUGCCCAUGCUUCUAGCAGCCAGCCUCCUAAAAUACCUCUAGUUGAAGCCAAAGUUAGAAUCCUUCUAUGAAACUACAGGAUUAAAAUGGGAUGGUUACAUGACCCAGGCUUGACCAAUCAGAUCAUCCAAACCCUUUGCCACAGUGAUUGGUCCAGGGAUACAUGCAUGAGCCAGCUCAGGUAAAUGAGGCUCAAUUAUGAGAAUUUUGUUAGCGCAAUUGGGGAAAAAAAGUUUUCUUUCCAUGAGAACUAUCAGCUAUAAGAAUGUUGGAUGUUUCCAUCUGCUGGAGUCCAUGAAGA